rnacentral:snoRNA from 1 species
UCCCUCUCAGGGUCGCACCUGUGAGUUUCCAGUACUCUGCCAGUCUCAGCUUCGGGAGGGAGAGUCAAGCAGAGGUCUAUCCAUUCCAUUCCUAGCUUGGGCAGUGGCUAGUGAGUGGAAGGUGAUCUGCUACAAGG